ACAUACCUAAAACGUUGCUUCGGCGGGAACAGACGGCCCUGUAACAACGGGCCGCCCCCGCCAGAGGACCCCUAACUCUGUUUUUAUAAUGUUUUUCUGAGUAAACAAGCAAAUAAAUUAAAACUUUCAACAACGGAUCUCUUGGCUCUGGCAUCGAUGAAGAACGCAGCGAAAUGCGAUAAGUAAUGUGAAUUGCAGAAUUCAGUGAAUCAUCGAAUCUUUGAACGCACAUUGCGCCCGCCAGUAUUCUGGCGGGCAUGCCUGUUCGAGCGUCAUUACAACCCUCAGGCCCCCGGGCCUGGCGUUGGGGAUCGGCAGAAGCCCCCUGUGGGCACACGCCGUCCCUCAAAUACAGUGGCGGUCCCGCCGCAGCUUCCAUUGCGUAGUAGCUAACACCUCGCAACUGGAGAGCGGCGCGGCCAUGCCGUAAAACACCCAACUUCUGAAUGUUGACCUCGAAUCAGGUAGGAAUACCCGCUGAACUUAAGCAUAUCAAUAAGCGGAGGA
rnacentral:rRNA from 2 species